rnacentral:rRNA from 1 species
UACGUAGGGAGCAAGCGUUGUCCGGAAUCAUUGGGCGUAAAGAGCGUGUAGGCGGUUCGGUAAGUCUGUCGUGAAAUCCUGAGGCUCAACCUCGGGCGUGCGAUGGAUACUGCCGGGCUAGAGGGUGGUAGAGGCGAGUGGAAUUCCCGGUGUAGCGGUGAAAUGCGCAGAUAUCGGGAGGAACACCAGUAGCGAAGGCGGCUCGCUGGGCCACACCUGACGCUGAGACGCGAAAGCUAGGGGAGCGAACAGG